rnacentral:rRNA from 1 species
CAGCAGCCGCGGUAAUACGAAGGGUGCAAGCGUUACUCGGAAUUACUGGGCGUAAAGCGUGCGUAGGUGGUGGUUUAAGUCCGUUGUGAAAGCCCUGGGCUCAACCUGGGAAUUGCAGUGGAUACUGGGUCACUAGAGUGUGGUAGAGGAUAGUGGAAUUCCCGGUGUAGCAGUGAAAUGCGUAGAGAUCGGAAGGAACAUCUGUGGCGAAGGCGACUAUCUGGGCCAACACUGACACUGAGGCACGAAAGCGUGGGGAGCAAACAGGAUUAGAUACCCCCGUAGUCCCUGUCUCUUAUAA